AGUUCUCUGAUCUGUUUGAUAUUAGUGAGCCUCAUGUCCAAAUUUCAUACAAGUUCUAGAUACCUUCGAAAGUCUGCCAGUCCUACAUCCAGCUGUUACAUCUAAGCAGUUACAACCAUACAGCAUGGUAGGGGGUGUGUGUUCUGCAGAGUGAACCAGAUGCCUGAUCCAGGUGCAGAGGAUCGAGGUGCUCCUCAGGCUUGAUGGUGAACAAGUGGACCCGCAUGGAGCGCCAGCUGUCCGCUGGGCUCUAGGGCGCUGUGUCCACCUCCCUGCCUGAGACCUUCUCAUGGACCUUCCUGUGGCACCUCAGCCUCAGUGUGCCCAGAGUGCGGUUAUUCCACCAACGUUUCUUCUCUCGCCACACUCUCCCCUCAGCAGGUAUCGUCUUCUUUCACCAAGUCGCCUACUUCAUAAACCCAGAAAUCAGCUUUACAGUGUCACGCCCAGCGUCUCUGACCCUCAGCCUAACUCCAACAUCCCACUUUAGUACACUGAGACCUUCUUCAGUAAUAACCUUAAAAUGCAAAGAA